rnacentral:lncRNA from 1 species
AUUUGGUUUUAAUAUUAGUUUUUUAAAAGAAUUAAACCGCGAUUGGAGAGACGAAAACUUGGAACGUGAGGGGUGCAAUUGAGUUGGGGUUGGGUUUGAGUCGGAUUAUUUUAGGUCUCGAUCACUUUAGAUUUCAGAUUUUUUUUUUUUUAGAGAAAGGCAGCAUACCCACUUCGUUUAUUUCUUUUUAAAAAUAAAUUUAACUAAAAAUGUGAGUCAAUUAGAAUUCGAACCUGGGAUCUCGGAUACCAAUUAGGUUUCAUAUUAUUUUGUUUCCGAUUUCGACUUGCUUGCGUUGGAAUCAUAUUGCAUUUAGAAUUCAAUGCUCUGGCGUAGAUCAAAAUAUUUAAGCUAUAACUUUGAUGAUUUGCUUCUUCUUUUUUUUUUUAAUGAUAGUUUGAUUCAACCGAAAAAAAAAAAGGAAAAACUUCAAAAACCCCGCAUGUGGUUUCGCACUUUUUCACUUUAGUACCCUAUGGUUUAAAGUGUAUCAAGUUAGUACCCUGUGAUUUCGCACUUUCUCACUUUAGUACCAUAUGGUUUAAAGUGUUACCAAAUUAGUACCCUGUGAUUUUGCACUUUCUCACUUUAGUACCAUGUGGUUUAAAGUAUAUCAAAUUAGUACCCUGUGAUUUCGCACUUUCUCACUUUAAUACUCUGUAGUUUAAAGUGUAUCAAGUUAGUACUCUGUGAUUUCAUUUUUGGAUCAAGUUAGUAUCAUGUGGUUUGAUUUUUUUUUUAUUAUCCAUUUCGGAAUUUUUUUUCGUUAAAUCAGUGACAAACAUAAAACUAAAGGGUACUAAAAUGAAUAUUCGAUAAACCUAGGUAAUGUAUCUAAAGCAUGGUACUAACUUAAUACACUUUAAACCACAGGGUGCUAAAGUGAGAAAGUGCGAAACCACGGGAUACUAACUAAAUACACUUUAAACCACAGGGUACUAAAGUGAAAAAGUGCGAAACCACGGGAUACUAACUUGAACACUUUAAACCAUAGGGUACUAAUAUGAGAAAGUGUGAAAUCACGGGAUAGGUAUUUGAAGUUUUCCCAAAUAAAAAAUCAAUCCUUUUCUUUUUUUGGUGAAUAUUUUUUUGUCUGCAUUAUAAAUAAUUUAUAAAUACAAUAUAGUUUGAGAGAUGCCUAAUUAAUAAUGCAUUAUGGUUAUAUUUUUUUUGUUUGAUUGGAUACGAUAUAAAGUGCUAUAAUUAUAAAUAAUUUUUUUUGUUGUACGCACUUAACAAUUAUGUAGGAGAAAUUUUUUUUUAAAAAAAUUAAAAGUUGACUAGGUAGGUUAGCUUAUGUUAAGUCUAAAAUUACUGUUUUUAACCGUUUCAAUUGGAACUGCAGUUAAUUUGAACAAUUGAGUCUUUUUAUACAGUUCCGAUUGAGCGAUAAAAUUUAAAUAUAUUAAAUCAAACACUAUAUAUAUAUAGAGAACUAGGCUGGUGUACUAUUGGUGCUAAGUUGUUCAAUAAUGCGGCUUCCAAAUCGAUGAUCGGCUACGUUAGACUUGAUCUAUACUAUUGAAAGUAUUUGAAAACUAAAUUUUAUGAUUUUUCGAUAUCAUUUGACUAGUGAUCAAAAUGUUUCAAAAUUGACAAUUCCAAUGGUCGAUGUGAUGCGUUUAUAAUGUAACAGUGUAAAACAAUUCAAAUCUGAUAAAAUUUUUACAAAAAAUUAUUUUCACUAUUUAGAGUAAGAUCAGUAUCUCUUAUCUUAAGUUCAAAUUUGUUUUAUAAUUUUUUAUAAUAAUUUUUAUUUUCAAUCCUUCAUUUUUAGUCAAAUAUAU